UACGUAGGAGGCAAGCGUUGUCCGGAAUUACUGGGCGUAAAGCGCGUGUAGGCGGUCUGAAUAGUCUGCUGUGAAAGCGCCUGGCUUAACCGGGCGAGGUCGGCGGAAACUCUCAGACUGGAGGCCGGUAGAGGGGGGUGGAAUUCCCGGUGUAGUGGUGAAAUGCGUAGAGAUCCGGAGGAACACCAAAGGCGAAGGCAGUGUCCUGGGGAGUACCUGACGCUCAGGUGCGAAAGCCAGGGGAGCGAACGGG
rnacentral:rRNA from 1 species